CGACACGGGGAGGUAGUGACAAUAAAUACUGAUACAGGGCUCUUUUGGGUCUUGUAAUUGGAAUGAGUACAAUUUAAAUCCCUUAACGAGGAACAAUUGGAGGGCAAGUCUGGUGCCAGCAGCCGCGGUAAUUCCAGCUCCAAUAGCGUAUAUUAAAGUUGUUGCAGUUAAAAAGCUCGUAGUUGAACCUUGGGCCUGGCUGGCCGGUCCGCCUCACCGCGUGUACUGGUCCGGCCGGGCCUUUCCUUCUGGGGAACCUCAUGCCCUUCACUGGGCGUGUUGGGGAACCAGGACUUUUACUUUGAAAAAAUUAGAGUGUUCAAAGCAGGCCUUUGCUCGAAUACAUUAGCAUGGAAUAAUAGAAUAGGACGUGUGGUUCUAUUUUGUUGGUUUCUAGGACCGCCGUAAUGAUUAAUAGGGAUAGUCGGGGGCAUCAGUAUUCAAUCGUCAGAGGUGAAAUUCUUGGAUUGAUUGAAGACUAACUACUGCAAAAGCAUUUGCCAAGGAUGUUUUCAUUAAUCAGUGAACGAAAGUUAGGGGAUCGAAGACGAUCAGAUACCGUCGUAGUCUUAACCAUAAACUAUGCCGACUAGGGAUCGGACGGUGUUAGUAUUUUGACCCGUUCGGCACCUUACGAGAAAUCAAAGUUUUUGGGUUCUGGGGGGAGUAUGGUCGCAAGGCUGAAACUUAAAGAAAUUGACGGAAGGGCACCACCAGGCGUGGAGCCUG
rnacentral:rRNA from 1 species